rnacentral:rRNA from 1 species
AGGCCGAUCGUCGCGCCGCGCUCGACGUCGAGCGCGCCGCGGCGGAUCAGGUACUCGUUGACGACCGUGUCGAAGUAGCUGUAGUAGACGACGUUGUUCACGUGGCCGUAGACGUCGUUGUCCAUCCAGCGCGUCGUGAUCGGCAGGAAGUGGCGAUAGGCGCUGCGCGGCAGCGGAACGGGUUUGGUCGAGGACAUGUCGGCGCGAGGCGAGAAAACGGUGGCUGAGUGAGGCGUCGAGAGCGGCCGGUCGGUUGCGCGGCGCAAGCGGCGGAAGGGGCGGAAGGGGCGCAAGCGGCAAUGACGGCGAUAGCGGCGCGUUCGCCACGCGGCGACGCCGCGCGCGGCGUCAUCGCGCGGGCGGACGCCCGCGAAAACGCGCGCGGCAACGGCCGCGCGGGCAUCGGCGCGAGCAUGCGCGACGAAAUGCGCGCCGCCGUCACAGCGAUUCGACGAGCAUGCGCCGGUAAUCGUCGGCCGACGCGAUACGCGGGUUCGUCUUGUGGCAAUGAUCGGCGAGCGCGCCCUCGAUCACGUGGUCGAACGCUUGCUCGUCGACGCCCAUUUGCCGCAGCCCCGUCGGCAGGCCGAGACGCGCGGUCAUGUCGUGCAGCGCCUGGGACAGAUCCGCGCGCUCGGGCAGGUUCAUCACGCGGCGCAUCCGCGCAUAGCGGCGCUCGGCGACGACGCUCGGCGCGCUUUCGUUGAAGCGCAGCACCGCGGGCAGCACGACCGCGUUCAGCGUGCCGUGAUGCAGCGAAGUCUUGCCGUCGACCUUCACGCCGCCCAACGGAUGCGACAGCGAGUGCACGCAGCCGAGCCCCUUCUGGAACGCCAUCGCGCCCUGCAUCGACGCGCUCAUCAUCGCGAGGCGCGCGGCGCGAUCGCCGCCGUCGUGCGUCGCGCGCUCGAUAUGCGCCCACGCGCGCUCGAGGCCGUCGAGCGCGAUGCCGUCGGCGGGCGGAUUGAACGCCGGCGCGAGGAAGGUCUCGAUGCAGUGCGCGAUCGCGUCCAUGCCGGUCGCGGCGGUGAGCCCGGGCGGCAGGCCGAGCGUGAGCGACGGGUCGCAGAUCGCCGCCUUCGGCAGCAGGUGCCACGAAUGGAAGCCGAGCUUGCGGCCGUCGGCGAGGAUCAGGAUCGCGCCGCGCGCGACCUCGCUGCCGGUGCCCGAGGUCGUCGGCACCGCGAUGAGCGGCGCGGCGGCCGCGGUGAUCCGCUCGCUGCCGCCUUCGAUCGUCGCGUAUCGGGUGAGCGGCGCCGGAUGCGUCGCCGCGAUCGCGACGCCUUUGGCGAGAUCGAUCGCCGAGCCGCCGCCGACCGCGACGAGCCCGUCGCAGCCCUCGUCGCGAUAACGCUGCGCGGCGGCGAGCACGGCGGCUUCGGUCGGAUUCGACGGCGUG